CGGAAAAUGAGUAUGUUUUCCUGGCACUAUAGUGGUCCUUUAAGAUUAUUUAUACUCCACUAACAUUAGUAAAUAUGAUAUAUUUCUUAAUUGAUAUUAUAUCCAUGAAUAUUCUAUAUUUUUAAUAUGUGUGUGUGUGUAUGUAUGUAUGUGUGUGUGUGUGUGUGUAUAUAUAUAUAGAGAGCAUUCAACCUCCCUUUUGCUUUAGACAUUGUGCCUUAUCUCUUGUCUUGUUUACAUAAGUUGCAUUCCUUAGCUCAGACUUGAAUGAAUAGUUAUAGAGAGUGAGAAAUCUUGUGUCUGUUUUAGCCUUGUAAUACAAAAUUGAGUCACCUCUGUUCUGAGGGUGACUGGCAGUAUACACUUAAUUUGUCUUAACACAAAAUGUUUUCCAGUAUAAAUAUACUGACAAUGCAAAGAAAAUCACAUUACUUUAAUCAGACAGCCAUAAAUGAACAUAAAAUUGGCUGCCAAGCUGGGUACAAAGACUUCAAUAAAAAAUUCAAGUUUAAGAAGAUGUGUGCUAAUUCAAGAGCAUAAUCACAGAUGAUGUUUUGUUUUUCCAGAGACUACCUAUUUUAAUCUUUAACUGCCAAAGGAGUUGAUUCAAGAAGGCUGAUCUUGAAAAACUAAUGCUUCUGUUUCCAGACUCAUGCAAUUAAGAUCUUAACUGCUGCGCACAUUAUUUAUAUAGCGCCAUCACAUUCCAUAGUGCUGUACAAUGGGUGGACUAACAGGCAUGUAAUUGUAACCAGACAACUGGACGUACAGGAACAGAGAGGUGGAAGGCACUGCUCAAUGAGCUUACAUUCUAGAGGGAGUGGGUGUAACGGAUCGACGGGCACCCUGACUGGAUACCUCCGUUGAAGGAUGCUCCUAGCGCUUCCUGAGGACUCCAAGCACUGCAGCAGACACCUUAACCACCGUAGACUCCCUCAGAGGGCAAGACAGGAACAAGCUCUUACCAGAGCUUAGGAGUGAUUAUAGCAAGGGAAUAUGCAGAGCAUAGCAAUCCCUUGUAGCAGAUCCCCCAAUAAGAGGCAAGACUCCAAAUUGAGGGUGAAGUAGAACUGACAGAGCUGUGGGUUUAUUGUUCUUAUAUACACAUUAGUACCACCCACAGGGUUUUGUAAAACAACCAAUAAACAUGUACAAUACACUCAGACACUCCCACACAAAAUCCUCCCCUCUGCCUGUGAUACAAUUACCUUACACAAUGGGUUAAUAUAAUUAUCACAGGCAGGAAAAUACAGUUUUACACAAUAUUCAUAACUACAAAAGUAUGCAUCACAUUCACAUAAAACAUACAUUUUCAGAAUCCCCAUACUCCAAAUACCAACAUAUGUCACAAUCAUACAAAUUGGUCCAGUGGGUUAAAAGUUAGAUCAACGUUCUUUGUGACCAAAUGAAGCAUGGCUUUUCUGCCCAAAACCAGUUCCACAGAGUCUUCUAUCCUGGAGAUAAUUGGGAAGUAAUCAAAUUAUCUCCAAGGACAGAGGCAAAACUCCAUUAGCCACAUGGUACCAAAAGACAAUAAAAUACAUACAAAUAUAUAACUGUGCAGCCAUUGCACAAAACAGGUACAUUCAACAUAUCCCCAGAUAGCUUAGAUCUGAGCACACAUUAUUACUGAAUGGCGCUCAGAGCACACACAUACAGUUCAAUUGCCAUGGAGCCAAAGUCUUUCACAUAGUCUUUCGUUAUACAAAUGGGCUCCAUGGCAUAGCUAUCUGGGGUAACACUGCUCACAUAGGGAAAGUACCGAAUGACCCGGCUUUCAGGUCUUUGCAGGGGAAAAUCAAGCAUUUCAACAUGGGGCCAUAGUCACAGGGCAGGAGGCUGGCAAUCCGUCUUCUCCAAUGCCCAGUGGCGAGGCUGGUUCUGCCACAGUGGGGUAUAGUGAAACAAAGGGUAAAAGUAGGUGUAUGAAGUAGGUUGUUAGAAGAGUAUUCACUGAGGGCUUAGUAGGUAAUUUUAACAGUUGCAGGAGAAGAGUCAUUGGGGGGGGAAUAAAAACCUGUUUAAUUGAUAUGCUUUCUUGAAGAAGUAGGUUUUCAAUGAUUGUUUGAAUAAGUGGAGACUGGGUGAAAUUCUUACUGAGUAGGGAAGGGAGUUCCUCAGAAGAGGUGCAGCCCUGGAGAAAUCUUAGAGGCGAGCAUUAGAGGUGGGAGUACGGACAGAGGAUAUACGUAGGUCUUUGGCAGAGCGUAGGGGCCUCGAUGGGACAUACUUAUGUAGGGACUUGUAAGCAAGCACCAGAAUUUAAAAUUGAGCCCUAUAUCUAACUGGAAGCCAAUGCAGGGACUGACAGAGCGUGGAGGCGUGGGAGGUGCGAGAGGACAGGAAAAUGAGUCUUGCCGCCGCGGUAAUUGAUUGCAGCGGUGCAAUCUGGGAACACGUAAGACCACUGAGAAGGGUAUUGCAGUAGUCAAGGCAAGCGAGAACAACAGCAUGGACCAGCACCUUAGCCGCAUCUGGCGUUAAAUAGGGGCAGAUGCACGCAAUGUUUUUGAGAUGGAAGUGACAGGAUUUGGUAAUUGAUUGGACAUGAGGGGUGAAGGAGAGGUUGGAGUCAAAGAGAACAUCCAGUCAGCGUGCCUGCGAUGUAGAGGUGUUGGUAGCGCCGUUGACUUGAAGGGAGGCAGACACAGGAGUAGUAACAUUUGAGAGAGGAAAGACCAGAAGUUCUGUUUUGGACAGGUUGAGUUUAACCCCUUAAGGACACAUGACAUGUCUGACAUGUCAUGAUUCCCUUUUAUGCCAGAAGUUUGGUCCUUAAGGGGUUAAGGAAGUGAGCAGCCAUCCAGUUGGAAAUCACAGAGAGGCAGUCAGAGACAUGAGUCAAGAUGGGCAGAGAGAGAUCAGGAGUGGAAAGGUAGGUUUGGGUGUCAUCUGCAUAGAAAUGGUAACAGAAGUCAAGGGAGACGGUAUAGAUAGAGAACAGUAGGGGACCAAGGACAGAAUCUUGGGGUCACCAACAGAGAGGGGUUGGGGAGAAAAGGCAGAGCCAAAGAAAGAAAUACUGAAAAAGCGCUGGGAGAGGAAGGAGGAGCACCAGAAGAGACAGCAGUAUCCCGUAGACCGAGAUUACGGAGAAUGAGAAGAAGCUGUUGAUGAUCAACAGUGUCAAAAGCAGAAGAAAGAUAUAGGCGUUAUUAUAUAGGCCUGCUUUUUUAAGCAUUCGGUCAAGUUCUGUCAGGGUACCUUUUGUGUGGACACAGGAUGUGCCUCACACUGAAGUCCGCUUACAAGGUUCUGGGGACCCGUCCAGGCAUUCUCCCACUGCCUCCAGUCAUUUUCGCGUCGGCCGCGAUAGCUCCGCCCCUUUUAUGACGCGAAAAUUAAUCACCAAAACGUCAGAAAAAUGUCAUCUAUCAUCCUACCAGAGACAGCCACAGUAUAAAAAGGAUUUUGUGAGAGAGGUUCCUUGCCCUGAUAGGUUCGACUUGCUUGACUAUUCUCCUAUCUGUUAUCCUUUUGACUCCGCUUGUGUACCCUUGUCCUUCCUGACUUCUGGCUUCCCUGACUUCAGCUCGUCCUGUUUAUUCUCUGUUUUCGUAACAUCCACCCGCCCAUUCUAAGGUCCGGUACGUUACUACUUUCGUUACACUCUGUUUAGGAUCCCCACUAUCCUGACAAGUUCAUAUAUAACAAGGCUCUCUCUGGGGUAACUUUAGUAUGUUUUUAAAGAUUUUUCAAUAAAAUCAAACCUGUCUAAUCCUCGCAUCUUUUAUUUCCAUCAGAAAAUAAUCUAGCCAACCUGGUUGGGACAAAAUACCAUCUAUUAAUGAAAGUGCAUUUCUGUGCAGAUUGUGAGAUCGUGAAUGUGUUUAAUAAAAUUAGAUUAUUCUAGGUUCCAUUCCUGAUUGUCGAUAUUAAAGUUGAGAACUUUUCCCCAUAUAGUUGCAUUUCUAUUUCUUUCGCUUUGUUUAGUAAUUUAAUAAAUUUUACACAUCUGUUAUUAUUCUUUAUGCAUAAAGAUGUUGUUUUUAAUUCUCAGGCCUUCAAAAAAAAGUUUUACUCUAAUGUAAUUAAACAUUUCUUUUGGAGGCAAACAAUGUCUGUGUUUUGUCACAAACUGUGUCCCCAACCCUGUUACACUCGCUGUUCCAGCCUGCAAAGAAAACUACCUAAUUUGGUUCCCAUUCAUUAUUUUUCUUGGUUAGGUAGAUAAAUCUACCGAACACCCCCCUGGCUCAUGAAGUUCAAGAAAACCGCAGGAAUUGGUGAUCUCACUGUGUGGCUGAACAACAUGUGCUGGAGAAAACGACGGCAAGCUUGUCGCAUGAAAAGAGGCAGUAGAGUGUCUGGAACUUCAAUUCGGACACUCGACUCUACAAACAUCCGGUCAACUUUGCGAAUGCCUGCUUCUUUUUAUGGACAAGCCAGGAGAGCGUUGUUCGGUAGGUUUGUUCGCAUGAACACAGUGAACAAAAGCUACCUAUGAGCCAGGAUAACCGUUUGUGGUUUUGUUUGGUUUGGGACUCGCGAAAUAGACCGACCACUACCCAUGAAACAAUGGAACUGUUUUGGGCAAGCACCUCCCGAGUGGUCCGUCAAAACUCUACCCCGGUGACGAUUCAUCUGUGUUCGUGGGAUGAGUGCUAUAUGGAUAACUUUGGCGCUCAGGUCCAGGCUAUCGGGGAUAUGACAUUUAUGGCGGUCCCUAUAAUAGGGCGCUGAUUGGUCAAACUGGUUUGCGCCCUUUCUCCUGAUAGGCCGGUGUGAGUUCAAGGGCCUAGCUUGAAACCCCUCCCUGAGUGCUGAUUGGUCGCGUGGUUUAGGCAUGAAGUUUGAAUCUGCCGGCCUAAACCAAAUGAUUCUGUGGAACUAUUUCCGGGCAUGUACAGAGCCUCAAGCCCGGACUUUAUACAACGAUAUCUUGGGCUCUGUACGUCCGAUAGCUCCGCUAUUUGCAGGGAUCAUAGCUGGGACCAGGAGCUAUUUGAUUUUGUAUUAUGUGUGGGGUUAUUUUGUCUUUGCUAUGUUUUGGGGUAUUUUUAUUCUUUAUGCACAGUCGUGCUGUGGGAGUGUUCCAGGGCCAUGUUUUGUAUAAAUUGUUGUCCCAUUAAAGAUAUUCCUGUUGUACCGUUAAUCAAGUCUCUGCUGAUGUUUGGGUAGCUAAGAGAUCUGAUCACGGUUUCACUUGGGAUUUGGGGAAGUACUCAGUCGAAAUACAGUCUUCAAACUUUUUUUUUUAAUGGUAUUUUCAGUUUGGUCUACACUUUUAAUACCUGCUCUUCUCCAGUUUUUCAAAUAUACACUUUCCAGUUUUUGUUUUGUUACUUGAAUGUUGCUGGAUUUGGGACUUUAUUUGCUAGAUUAGCGUUGUUUCUUUUUUAAACUUGUACCAUAAUGGUAUUAUUGAACUAUGAAUCAUACAACUAUUUUUACCUAUCUGCAGAUUUUUAAUUUUUUAUUUUCCAAAUAAAUGUAGAUACGGUCUUACAAUCUGAAUUCUUUGCCUCCUCCAAAUAAUACCAAUCUAUUUACAUGGUAAAGGAUACUGGCCUCAUAAUACUGAUACAUAAUAGGAAAACUUAAACCGCCAUUCUUAGUAUCUUUUGACAAUAUGCUAUAACUGAUGCGUGCAAUUUUACCUUUCCAUACAAAAUUUCUAAAUCUUCUUUGUACUUGUUUAAACCAAGGAGCUGUGGAACUUAAGGACAGCAUCCUGACUAAGUAGAUCCACUUAGGUAAGACAUAAGGUUUUAUAAUGUUAAUUCGUCCAUACCAUGAAACGUCCUUAUCACUCCACUCCUUUAAAAUCUUAUUCAUAGAUCUUAUGGUAUUUAAAAUAUUGAGCUUGGCUAUCCUUUUUUUGUAUUUAGGAAUUAUAAUUCUAACUGAC